rnacentral:rRNA from 1 species
UACAGAGACCCCGAGCAUUAUCCGGAUUUAUUGGGCGUAAAGCGUUCGUAGGUGGCUUUGUAAGUCAUUUGUUAAAUCUUCAUGCUCAACAUGGAGGCUGCAGGUGAUACUGUAAGGCUCGAGUACGGGAGAGGCAUAUGGAAUGCCCGGUGUAGCGGUAAAAUGCGUUAAUAUCGGGUAGAACACCAAAGGCGAAAGCAAUAUGCUGGAACGUCACUGACACUCAAGAACGAAAGCGUGGGGAGCGAAAGGG